rnacentral:rRNA from 1 species
UACGGAGGAUGCAAGCGUUAUCCGGAAUUAUUGGGCGUAAAGCGUCCGCAGGUGGCACUUCAAGUCUGUCGUCAAAGACCGGGGCUUAACCCUGGAAAGGCGAUGGAAACUGAAAGGCUAGAGAGAGGUAGGGGUAGAGGGAAUUCCCAGUGUAGCGGUGAAAUGCGUAGAGAUUGGGAAGAACAUCGGUGGCGAAAGCGCUCUACUGGACCGCAACUGACACUCAGGGACGAAAGCUAGGGGAGCGAAUGGG